AGAGUUUGAUCCUGGCUCAGAUUGAACGCUGGCGGUAUGCUUAACACAUGCAAGUCGAACGGAAACGAAACUAGCUUGCUAGUAGGCGUCGAGUGGCGGACGGGUGAGUAACGCGUAGGAAUCUGCCUGAUAGUGGGGGAUAGCCCGAAGAAAUUCGGAUUAAUACCGCAUAAUCUAUUCGUAGUAAAGUGGGGGACUUUCGAGCCUCACGCUAUCAGAUGAGCCUGCGUAAGAUUAGCUUGUUGGUAGGGUAAAAGCCUACCAAGGCAACGAUCUUUAGCUGGUCUGAGAGGAUGAUCAGCCACAUCGGGACUGAGACACGGCCCGAACUCCUACGGGAGGCAGCAGUGGGGAAUAUUGGACAAUGGGGGCAACCCUGAUCCAGCAAUACCGCGUGUGUGAAGAAGGCCUGAGGGUUGUAAAGCACUUUCAAUUGUGAAGAAAAGUUAACGGUUAAUAACCGUUGACCUUGACGUUAACUUUAGAAGAAGCACCGGCUAACUCCGUGCCAGCAGCCGCGGUAAUACGGAGGGUGCAAGCGUUAAUCGGAAUUACUGGGCGUAAGGCGUGCGUAGGCGGUUUAUUAAGUCAGAUGUGAAAGCCCCGGGCUUAACCUGGGAACUGCAUUUGAAACUGGUCAACUAGAGUAUGGUAGAGGAAAGUGGAAUUUCUGGUGUAGCGGUGAAAUGCGUAGAUAUCAGA
rnacentral:rRNA from 1 species